rnacentral:rRNA from 1 species
GGCAGCAGGCGCGCAACUUACCCUAAUCUCGAUUCGAGGAGGUAGUGACAAGAAAUACCGAUGCGGGGACCCUACGGGUGCCGCGUUCGGAAUGAGUACGAUUCGAACCACCUAACGAGGAACGAUCGGAGGGCAAGUCUGGUGCCAGCAGCCGCGGUAAUUCCAGCUCCAAUAGCGUACGUUAAAGUUGCUGCAGUUAAAAAGCUCGUAGUUGAACGUUCGGGUUCCGCGGGACGGGGCCGCCCCGCGAGGGACGGCGCCGCCCCGGGGCUCGUGAUAUCUCAUCUCGCCGCCCGUCGCGAGGCGGACGGAGGGAUGGAUGAGGUUACCUGGAAAAAAUCGGGGCGAUCUAGGCGGGCGAACCUCGCCAACGAACGAUCGGACAUGGGAUAACGGAAGAGGGCGUCGGCUCGACUUCGUCGGUUCCUCGGGCCGAGGCACGUACGGUGAAUAGGGACGGUCGGGGCCGCCCGUACCGGGUCGUGAGAGGUGAAAAUUCUAGGAUCGACCCCGAGACGAACCGCCGCGAAAGCAUUCGGCAAGGACGC